rnacentral:rRNA from 1 species
AUGCGUUGGAGCAUUCUACAAUUCGUCUUCUCCCUUCUACUUCCCACCAACAUCAAUCAUGGACUCGUGUCCUUUUCCAUCCACCUGUUUGGCGUAUUACCACCGCACAUGAGCUGUCCUCCGUGUCAUAGUUAUCAUCUUACGCGGGAGGAUGUCCAUCCAAUUAGGCCAACUCCACCGCGCGACCCUAUCAUGUCCGUCCCCCGCGCGGAAGGGCGGGACGCGCGCGCUUGUCCUUUCCUGGCCCGCCUGUCGGUGGGAGAAACCAAACCCACCCCCACGCCCAAUUGGCGCCAUUUGCCCCAAACCCUCCCACUCCCGUCGCCCCCUCUCUCCCCCGUCCAUGGCCGACGCCCCAAAGAGUUUCGGCGGCCUGGCCGUCGACCCGCCCGCAAAGGUGAAGAAGAAGGCGCCAAGAAAGCCGCGGUCGGAGUGCACGCCGGAGGAGAUCGCCAAGUUGGAUGCGGAAUCGGCGAAGAGGAGGGAACGGAGAGCGGUCGUCAAGGUCAAUACGUCGCGGCCAAGUUCACCGCCCAGCGCGAGGAGCUGGAGGCCGCGCGGCGCAAGGCCACUGCCGACGAGAAGGAGGGCCUCGUCAACAAAGCGCACGCCAUCCUCAUGCUUGGCAUGGGCCGUCCUGCCGGGUUCCCUGCAGCGGCCGUCGGCCCGGCGAGCACAGGCUCGUCGGUCGCCCGACCUACGCACUGCCAGUCGCCGAUGUCGCGUACCGCGCCCAUGUCGCCCGGCUUCCCUCCGCCAAGGCACGACGGCCAGACCCGUUUCUCGGGGUCGCCGGACGUGGGCUUGUUCGCGCCGUCCACAUCGCGCCCCGCGGCCGUCAUCGACCUCAACGUCACGCCUGGGUCCAGCAGCGGCGGGCGGCCGUCCGUCGAGAUGCUAAGAAAGCAGGCACGGGCACCGUUCACGGGCACCAUGCCGGCCCCCCGUGUCUUGUUUGACGGAAUGCCAACCCCAACGGCAGCGGUCGACGACCCCUUCUACAACCGCUACAUGGAGGACGUGAUCUUCGACGGUGGGCAUGGUCGUACCUACGACCCCGAUGAGACCCAAAGUCAGGAUGGCCGCGCCGAGUAUGUCCCCGAUGAAGAGGCCGAUGACCGUGCUGACUACGACCAUGGUGACUCGUGGCAUGAAGACAAUGACAUCUAUGUCGAAGGUGAUGAAGAAGAAGAAGAAGGCAAUGACGUUGAUAUUAGUGGUGCGCCAUUGUUCAUCGACGAGCUCACCCAAAGAGCGGAGGCACAAAAGAAGAGGAAGAGCACGGGUUCAUAUACACAAGAUGAGGACAAGUUGAUUUGCCAAGCUUGGAUGGAGAUUAGCCAAGAUCCGAGGACCGACGCGCAACAAAAGGGCAUUGUUUUUUGGAUGAGAGUCCACAAAACAUUCCAUGAAAGGAAGAUGUUUGAGCCCUACCAAAUUACAAGCAACCGUGGCAUCGGCUCGAUUCAAAAAAGAUGGUUGUUCAUCCAACAAGAGUGCAACAAGUAUUGCGCCGCAUUUGAGAGCAUUGAAGCACGGUCCAUGAGUGGUCUUGGCGUUGGGGAUAUGGCAUUCCAAUCUUUGGAGGCAUUCAAGGCCCGGCACAAUGACAAGCCAUUCACUCUUACGCAUUGUUGGACGAUCAUCAACAAUUGCCCUAAGUUCAAGGAUCAAUACCGUGAACUUCAAAGAAAGAGAGGCAAGAAGACGGCCAAGUUCGCCGGAGGUGGGGAUGGCGAGGCGUUGAAGAGGCCAAGGGGCAAGACCAACUCCAAGGUGGACGACAUACGUGACGCCUCAUCCAUGGCCUUGCAUGAGACUUUGCAUGGCAUGAUGUCCCAAAAGGAUAAGCUUGAGAUGGAGGAGGCGGCCAAGAGGAGGAAUCUUGAGAUGGAGGAGGCGUCCCGGCAAAUGCAGCUCGACAUGGAGGAGGCGGCCCGGCAAAGGCAGCUCGACAUCGAGGCCAACAACGUCAAGGCCAGGCAGAGGCAGCUCGACAUCGAGGCCACCAAUGCCGCCACCAAAGCGAAGGAGGUGGCCCUUGCGAUCAUGAGCGUGGACUUGUCGAAGAUGAGCGACAAGACGAGGGCCUGCAUGGGUGCCGCCCGCCCGUCGGGCCGUUGGCAGUGUGCCGGCGAGAAAACAUUCAUUUUGGAGGCCGGCUGUGUUGCCGACCGCUGGCUGUGUUGCCGGCGAGGAGAACUAUUCAUUUUGGAGGCUGACUGUGUUGCCGGCCGUUGGCUGAUGCCGGCGAUGGACGUUCGUUACAUGCAAGUAUGCAACAGGCUUGGUAAUAUUUUGGAGGCUGGCGAUAUGACGUGGGAAACUCACCUCGGAGUCAUCAUUUUCCAGGAGCGGGAUAAAUGUGUUAUACCCUCCAGUAGGCCAGGCAGAAGCCCCGGUGGCGGUGACAGCAGCAGCGGCAUCCUCGGCGGCCUUCUUGUCGGCUUCAGCUUUCUCGGCGGCAGCACGGUCGGCGUCGGUGGACAUGGUGAUGACGAGGACAAAGCGGACAUAGAGGAAGAGCGGGAUAAACGUGUUAUACCCUCCAGUAGGCCAGGCAGAAGCCCCGGCGGCGGUGACAGCAGCAGCGGUAUCCUCGGCGGCCUUCUUGUCGGCUUCAGCUUUCUUGGUGGCAGCACGGUCGGCGUCGGUGGACAUGGUGAUGACGAGGACGAAGCAAACAUAGAGGAACCGGGCGCUAGGGUUUCCCCCGCUCCCCUCCCGCUGCCGCCGACCCUCCCGUCGCCGCCGGUCGUCGGCCCCGCCCCCCGCCUCCGCCCCCCUUCCGCCCUCCCCCUCCUCUGUCUAGGCCGCCUCGCGCCGCCUCCCCGGGAGGUGGCCGACGCGGAGCUCGCGCCCCUUGCCCGCAGAUCUGGGCCCGACGGGCCCCAUCUGGGCCCUAACGGGCCGGCCCCCCGGCAUGGUCUCGUUGUCUACAGCGCGGUGAGGAGGAGGAGCGGCUCGGACUUGAGGCGUCGGCGCCGACGGCGUGCCGACAGCAGCGCGAAUGCGGGAGCUUUACGGGCCCACGAGGGCUCAGCCGGGCUUGUGGGCCUACGGGCCUGGUGUGCUCCUGCUAUUGCGUCCGGACGGCUACUGUCGCUGACGGUGGAGGUGGGGCCCUCCCGCGUGCCGAUGGGAAGUGGUUGGUUUGGUGGCGGGAUCUGGAGCGCCCGAGGUGUGGGUUGGGAUCGGGGGAAACCCCUGUCGGCGUGGCCGACUCUGGCGCGGUGGCGCCUGUGGGUGCCACCUGACCUUCCGGGAGGGCGUCGGGGGCUACCCUUCCUCUCGCCUCGUCGUGUACCGGGGGAAACCCUUGGCAGCAGCGUCGUCAUCGUCGCGAUCCUUCUUGGAGGUGUUGAUUGGUGCCGGCGCUUCGGAGUCUUGGAGCCUAGUGGAUGA